rnacentral:lncRNA from 1 species
UCACUGUCAGAGUGAUACAAUGUGGAAAGAUUCCGCCAGCCAUUGAUGGCUUUGAAGAAGGAGGAAAGGGCCAUCAGCCAAGAAAUGCAGGCAGCCUCUAGUUGGAAAAGGCAAAUAAAGAAACAAACAAACAAAACAUAUUCUGCUCUUUCCAGAGCUUCUGGGAAGGAACAUAGGCUCCACAAAACUUGAUUUUAAUAUAGUGAGGGCUGUGUUGGACUUUCAACUCUAGAACCCUUAGGAUCAUUAAUUUGGGUUGCUUUAAGCCACUGAGUUUGCAGUAAUUUGUUACAGCAACAAUAGGAAACUAAUACCCUCAACCUUGGAGCCUAGGGUCUGGGAAAGGAGAUAGACCCAGGGUGCUAGAAUGCAGAGUAAAGAGGCUAUAAUAGGAUUAGUUCAGGUUGCUGAGAAAACACCCAGGAGAGCCCCUCAACCCAGACUUGGGCAUGAAGGGAACGUUUUCUCAUAGAAACUCCAUAAGGGAGGGACCAAUAUGGACCAAUGUCAGCAACACCCACCACUGUGCCUGAACGUACUGUGUCCAAAAAAUGUGUGUUGGAGGGAGGACAGAGGGAGGGAGAGAGGAAAGAAAAAUUUAAGAAGAGACAAAACUAAGGCCUGAUGGAUUAAGUAGGGCUUACGAUGGGUGAAUAGAAAGCAAGGGAAAGUGUUUCAGGCCGAAGGGACAACAUGGGCAGUGACCUGAGGGCUGUUUAAAGAACUAAAUAAAGUUUAGUUUGGCUGGGACACAGUGCCCCACAGGGAAUGGGGAAAGAUGAGUAGGGGCACGUUACAGAUCAUAAGGGGCCUUAUCAGCUAUAAUUAGACUCUUGGCCUGUAUCCUGUAUGCAGCUGGUGCUCUCUCUCUCUCUUUCUCCUCUGCUUUUGCGUUUCUCUCUCCCUUUUCUCUUGGUUUACACUUUAAUAUCUCUUACAUGGAGUGUGUAUAUGCCACCUCAGUUAAGUCAAAGAGAGCUUACAGAAAUAUUUCAUCCUUGUCUUGUGGUCUCUGUUGCAGUCACUCCCUCCAAUCUAGCAAUGCUUUACGACCUAACUCAUAAAUUUUCAUUUUGGAUAAGAUGGGAUGGUCCCGUAGAUGAAGGCACUGGUCAGGUAAUCACACCUUCUGGGCUUACAAGUCCACACUCCUCUGUUUACCGUUUAGUAUCUCUGUAUUCUCUCGUUUCCCAGUCUGUAAAUGGGGCCAGGGGAGUACUCACCUCAUGGGCCUACUGUGAGGAUCAAAUGAGGAAGUCCCUGAAAAAGCUUUCAAAGCACGAGGUAUAUACCAAGUGGCAGGUAUCUGCUGAAAUCAUCACUCUUUGCAUAGCUAUUCUCAGCCAGCCAUAACCAGCCAUGCCAAUAAGUGUCCAUAAGCCUUGAGGUCAAUCUCACCAUUCUGCAUCCGGAGAAACUGAUAUACAUGGACCGCGUCAAUGAGCGCCCUUGCUCUCUAGCUUCCAGUUGAUUCCAGCCUAUGGGAGGCAUCAGCAGAAGGCCCGGAGAGUGAAAUUGGGAUAUUUGGUUCUCUCUGGGUUUCCGGAGCUUUCCUUUAUCAAAUGUGGCCUCUUCUCAGGAGGUCCUCUCCCUACACCUACCCUUUUGGUUCCAGGAAAUUCCCCCUCUUCUUUCCCUCUUAAGAACCUGUGAUGAUAAUGGCUUUUCCACCCGUGCAAGUCCCAAGGUUUCCUUCUUAACCAAAUGACCCUGUUGGAGCAUGGUCUCUGUUCUUGUAGGAAUGCUGACCAAGACAACGUUCUUUUAGGUAUGGGGUCUCCUGGCUUAACAGGACAAUAAGACCUCAUCCCGUGAAAUGAGGAAGCCCUUGUCCCUCUGGUCAACUGUGGAACCUUCACUGAGGUGACCACGUUGUCACAAGACCACUGCUUUUUCAUUCCCCAGGAAGCUUUGAAAGUGUCAACAUGAUUGGUAAUCUUAGUAUGUAUGAUGACCAUACCCCAAACCAAGUGGCCCAGGCAGAAAACUGGGUUGCUGUGAGUUUCCAGAGGCCAAGGGGCCAUGAGUCAGAGUGACUGGCAUGAGCCCAUAAGGGGAAGUAAGUCAGUAGAUCUAGAGACCACUGUAGUCACCCUCUUGUCCUGAGCCGCGUCCAUAGAGAGUUAUGUGGUCCCUUCAUCUAUAUGCUUCUCCAGCCCCAUACUUAAGUGGACUCUGCUGCUGGCCACAUCACUGAAAUGGGACUUCCAAGUGGCCUUCUCCUGCUGUAGCCCCGGAGUGACAGUGUGUAGGACCCAACCCCAGCCUUCCUCCUUCUGCUCCUCACCCACAUCCCAAACAUUGUUUUCUUUCUUAUUCAAACCACGUCUCUUUUUUGUCAGACUGAGAGCUCAUUUUGGUCAGGGAGUGAGUCUUUCUAUUCUUGGCGCCCAACUCAGAGUCUGCCUUAUAGAGAGUCCUGCGUCUAGCAUGGGGGUUACCAACACAGGCUCUGGCGGCAGAGAGAUGAAUCAGUUUUUAUCCAUCACUUCUCAAGUUACUCUAUUAGCAUCUUCCAAUGCGAGUCUUGAUACUACUGACUUUAGGUAAGAUAUUUCAUCUUCCCGAGCUGUACUUUCCUCAUAUGUAAAAUGGAAAUUUACCCUUCUCCUAGGGUUGUUAUGGGAAUUAAGUGAGAUUAGCAUAUACAAAGACCUCAGCAUAUUAGCAAACAAGAAACCAUCCUUGUUAUGUUACAUGGUGGAUAACACUUUAUGAAAUUAGAGACCCACAUGCCUGCUUAUCUGUGAUAUCAAAAUAGACAAGAACACAAGAAAUAUCAGAUGAUCUGAUCGAACUAGAAGCAGCAUCACAUUUGCAUUAGUAUAUCCACCUUUGCCCGUGGAGCAGCAGUUUCCUGUUAACAUGAGAGACCUGGGUUUUGAGGAGGGCUGCGGGUCUCAGAUUGGCCGACUCCAGGUUGCCAAGCGGAGGCAUGUCACAACACAUCCAUAAGCCUCUGUUUCCACAUCUCCAAAAUUGGUAUCCACUCAAGGUUAUUUUCUCAUUGGAUGAUAAUUGAGUACUCACUAUGUGUCUGACAUUAUUCUAAGCUGUAAAUAUAGCCAUAAACAAGACAGGCUCACCCUGGCCCACAUGGAACUUAUAUUUUAGUUGGGGAAGGUGCAGGAAGAGAUAAUUAGUAAACAAGUAAAUAAAUAAACAAACCAAUAAGCUAAUUUCAGUUGUUGAUAAGUGCUGUGGGUAGGAUGAAAGAGGAUGCUGGAAUAUAGAAUUACCCUGUUAUGGCUGGAUUGGGCUGGCUUCCCUGACUAAGAUGGUCAGGGUGAGACUCUCAGAGUAGGUGACUUUUGAGCUUAAAUAAGAAUGGAAAGAAAGAGCACAUCAUGGACAGAUCUGGGGGGAAAAUGUUCCAGGCAGAUGAACAGCCAGAGCAAAAUUCAGAGAUGGAACAAACCUGUAUCCUGAAGCCAUUAAAAAUAGAGCAGUGUGGCUGGAGCACAGCGGAGGAGACAAGGUCAGAAGGUCACGAGGAUUAAAUGAGGUGGUGUGAUUGAACUGCCCAGAACGACGACGCAGGAGGUGUGCUUGAUGGGUGCUGUUUUUUUUCCCCAAACCUCAUCUAUACCUCGAGGACCUAUUGCGUGUCAGUAUAAGAUGCAAAAAUCAGUAAAUCAUAUUGCUAGCUCUAGGGAGCUCAUGGUCUAAUAGAGGAGGAAAGACAUCCACUUUAAAAAUAAACACAAAAAUUUUUUAAAUAAAAAUAAACCAAGUCAAAACCAGGCAAAUGAUAAGACCUAAAAACAAGUGAUAGUAUUUGGGCAAUGAUGUAAAGAUGAUAGAAUAGAUAUAGAUACAGAUGUCAAUAUAAAGGUUGGAUGUGAGUAUAGAUGUUGGGUGUGGAUGUGGAGGUUGGAUAUGGAUGUUGAUAUUGGAUGUAGAUACAGGUAUAGAUGUUGCAUGUGGCUGUGGAUGUUGGAUGUGGACUAGGUAUUGGAUGUGAAUGUGGAUAAUGAAUGUGGAUGUAGCUAAUUGGAUGUGGUUGUGAAUGUUGGAUGCUGGAUAUGGGUGUGGAUUUGUAUAUUAUAUGUAUAAUAGAAUAAGUGACUAAAUGAGUGAAUAAAUAUAAAGGAGGCAGAGAAUCCUGAGGUCGAUGGCUGAGGGGAAAUCUUCCUACAAAAGGCAGAGGCGGACAGAGGUUGUGAUAGAGAAUAUACGUUUACCAACAGAAGACACCAGCUGGGCUGGAAGAGAGGGUUCCUAUAGGGAAGUGAUAGCAGGAAAGUAGGCAGAGGACCAAUUGUGUAGAAUGUGGGAUUUGCCCUGUGGACCUGUCAUGUUAUUUAUAUUUGUACAAUCAAUAGACAUUUCUAUAGCAUGUGAAUGGACAAAGCAUGUUUACACUGGACCUGAGUUUCUGUGAGCAUAUUUUAUUUCCCCAAUUUCCUCAUGGGAAAGCAGAAGCACAGGAAAUGUCUUCUACUUGCCCUUUCUCUGUGACCGUUUUGAGGUCAGUUAUUAUGUCUUAAAUUCAACCAUCAGUGAAACAUAAAAAGGCUCAUUCAGGCUUUGAUAGUGGAAAGAGGAUAGAGGAGCCCGUGGUGAUGUUAAGAGUGUCAUAAAUUUGCUUCCUUAUGAUAAAUAUUUUUAAUGUUAAAAUCCAAAUAUAAAACAAAAAUAAGGAAGGUUCAAAAAAUAAAGUUAUUAUAAAUGUCAAAAUUGGGGUGUCCCAGGAACAUAAAUCUGAAGACUGUGAGGACCCUCAUAAUUUCUUUCUUUCUUUCUCUCUUUCUUUCUUCCUUCCUUUCACUCUCUCUCCCUUUCUUUCUUUCUCUUGCCUAACCUGUGGCAAGUGGAGGUUCCCAGGCCAGGGAUCAAACCCCUGCCACAGCAGUGACCCAAGCUGCUACAGUGACAGCGCUGGAUCUUUAACCCACUGCACCACAAGAGAACUCCGGGACCCUCAUGAUUUCUAUCAGUGAAGUAGCCAUUUGAUUCUGUGCAGCUCCAUGGUCAGAACCAAUCACAGAAGUAAACUUGAGAACUCCCACACAAAUGAUCUUCUUGUGGAACUGUGUUUGGCAAAGGACGCUCUGGGAAAAGCUAAAACAUGCUAUUGAACAUGGCCAGAAGGAUUUAAACUUGAACACUGUUUAAAGCAGGGGUUGCCAGUUGUCUACUAGAACUGCAGAAAAGAUUUUAAUAAUAGACUCUGGAACACGCAGUUUUGAGCAACAUAACUUGUCAAUGAAAUUUUUAGGUUGAAGUAGUUGCAAAUUAUGUCACUAAAAUUACCAUAAAAAUUGAGCCAAUCUAAGGCUUAUGGUCUGUGAGACAAUUACAUCUCUGUAGUCAUCAGCUCAAAAUAGAAUUUUAGAAGUGUUGAUAUUAAGCUGCCCUUGCUGCCAAUAACUAGAUGACUUGCUGGUUGAAGGAAUAACUUCAGCCAAAGAGAAGACUCUUUUCCCCCAGUCUCUAUGGGAAUGUGGCAUAGGGCACGUUUGUGAAUUAGCAUCCAACUAUGAUAAGUAGGAUCCAUUGCUGGUCUUUGUAGCCCAGAGGUCUCCAUGAAAAGGACCUCAAAAAAUACUGGGUGAUGGUGAUGCCAAAAGGUUGCAGCUGUUUUAGAAAAAGCCAGAAUUAAGAUGGCAGAAUCUUGGUGUUUUUGUUUGUUUGUUUACAGAAUGUAUUAAUUUGGAAGAGUUGUUAAAAUUAGAGAGUGAGUCCAUUUUGCUUUCCCUUGCUGCGAUCAAAUUGGUUUGCCUUUGAGGCAGGUGAAAGCUAAGCGCUUGGCCCUGGUAUAGGUCUUGAGUUAGCCCCGUGCCCUGCGAUUUGACAGAGUCUGUCGUUCCCACCCUCGCCCUGAAAUCACUGCAGAGUUAGUCAUCUUCUAGGAUUUGGCACUCAGACCAGGAUUUCAAACGGCUCUAGGACACACUUCCUACAUGUGCACCUAAAAGGCCCCAAACCCAAAUGUCCUGUUUCCCCCAAGAGCAUCUAAACCAAGAGCAGCCCCAAGUGGGAUGCCCAGAGUCUGAGGAGUAGAAAAAUAGGACUCCCUUUUCCCUCUCAUAAGUUUUGUAAGGUUCAAAAAAAAGCAGGUGCAAAUCACCACUGAAUUUGAAACCCCCAAGGAAGCCAGAGCAACUCAACAACAAGAAAAAGCUUAUUACAGCAAAACCUGGAGAAAAACUUCAGCUGCCGUAUCUCCAAACAAUUAUCGACUCCCUGGCUGAUUUCAAAGCCCCCUGAGGACCUCAUGUAGAUUGAAUCCUCAUGAUCUCGCCUCAUGUGAGGACUGAGUGGGCUAUUCUUGAGCCAAACGUCUGCAGUUGUGGGUAAAUAUAUUGAUAUCCUAGCAACUUGCGAAAGCCACAGUACCCUAGACAAGGGCUUGUUUUCAUUUUUUUGUUAACAAGAGAGGAGGUUUGAGGUGGGAGCCUGGGAUGUUUUGAGCCAAGCAAAGAGGUUCUUGGUAAACAUACAAAUUCUCUUCCUCUGGUCAUUCUUGGCUGCCCCUUGCAAGUUGGAGGCAUCCUCCCAU